GCUUGACUGUAUCUUGGAAUUGGGUUCGGGCUUUUCUUGCGCAGACUAGGUGGGGAGGCUAUGAAGAUUUUCUUCUGGGAAAGUUGGAGCCAACAGUGAGAGACCACUCUGGAAAGGCUAGAAUCCUAAUGUGAUCCUUGAAUCAGGACACUUGACAGUUUCAGGUGGGCAGUUUUUCCUGGGCGGAAGCCUCAUAAAAGUAACUGAGGCGGCGCAAAGGUCCCCUCAGUCUGGACGGAAAUCAGACAUUGAGUGUAAGGCAAAAGGGGGCUUGACUGCAAGACCCACAAAGUCGAGCAGGGGCGAAAGCUGGCCUUAGUGAUCCGACGGUGCCGUGUGGAAGGGCCGUCGCUCAACGAAUAAAAGUUA
rnacentral:rRNA from 1 species